rnacentral:tRNA from 1 species
ACCUCUGUAGUUCAAUGGAUAGAACAACUCCGUCCUAAGGAGCAGAUGUAGGUUCGAUUCCUACCAGGGGUACAA